AGGCACCAGCUGAGCCCGUGGCUUUUGCCCUACAAAGGGCCAGUGUGUUAAAGCAGCUCUCUGCAGCUCUCAGGGCCCCAUGAACACCACACAUUAGGAGCCAUUAGAGCUGCCCACGGUGCCAAACAGAAUCUCAGCAGUCACAGGGAAGAUUUUGCAGAACAAAACAUCUGUGAGCUGGAUUGCUAUAGACAGCUGGUUCUGGAGAAAGGCUGGAAUUCACCCCACCAAGACAUAACCUUCUCCAGUGGGAAUAAUACCACCACAAAACACAUCAAACCAGAAUGGUUCUUGCAACU
rnacentral:lncRNA from 1 species